rnacentral:lncRNA from 13 species
AAAUGAUAUUGCCACCAUUUGUGCAAUGAAGAAUCAGAAGCUCAAAAGUCAGUCUCAAAAUAAGGACUUGAAGGGAGCUGCAUUUAGGUUUCUGACUCUAAGCCUAGUGCCGAUUCUACUAUAUUAACUGGUUUCUUUAAGAUAACAAUGAACAUUGUGAUAAUAUUUACAGUUUCUAUAGCACUUUCAUGUAGAUUAUCCAAUUUGUGCUUCACACUGAGGCAGAGAUAGAGAGCCUGUAAUUAUCUUCAAUUAUAAAUAAAGUAAUUAAAGUGCUGGGAAAUUAAAUGAUGUUUCAAAUAAUGAGACUGGAAUCCAAGUCUCCAAAUGCCAUUAACUAAUGAAUUAAACACAUAUUUAGACAAAUACUCAAUAUGCAUCAAGUUCUAUGUCAAGAGCUAGGGAUUUGAAAGAAAGCAAGGUCUCUGCCCUCACGGAGCUUGCAUCCUAAUGAGAAUUGGUAGAAUGAAAGGAAAGAAAUGUGAGAACAAGGUAAUGAGGGAAAACUACAAGGGUAAUGAGAAAAAGCAUAACCUGUCAGGGUGGGUGGUGUUUCUGUAUUUGGAUGAGAUAGACGAGGUGGAUGGUGUUUACGUGUUUAGAUAAGGAAGGCUGCUCAGAGGAGCAAACAUCUGAGCUGAGAACUAGUGUAAUAACAUUCCUAAUAAAGGGGACAGAAAUUAUGUUAGUGUAGAAAGGAAGAAUAAUCAGCAAAAUAUCUAGUAUGAGUAAGACACAGUUCCAAGUCCGUUGUGAAUUUGAAUCACUUAAUCCUCAUGGCAUCUUUUUGAGGUAGCUACUAUUGUUAUUCCCAAAUUACAAGUAGGAGAAUUGUCUCGUCUUGCAUAGAGAAGUUAAGUAAAUUGGCCAACAUUGCAUAGCUGGCAAGUGCCAGAGCCAGGGCUGCGAUUUGCAUGUAUGCAGUCUACGUUCUUAAUGCAAUACGCCGUGCUGGUGCUGAAAGGGCAGCAGGAAGGCCAGUGUGGCAGAAGCAUGAUGAGAAGCACUUCCUUGAGUACAGCUGGUGGUCUUGUUACAGGCAGAAGGGCCCACUCAACAUAUCCAGUAUUAGGUAUUUCCUACUUAUAAGGUUGCAUCUGGGAAAGACUGAAAAUGAAUGCAUCGAGAGCUCUGAGUGCCACAGGAUGAAGCUCAUCAAUGAGAUAACCACUAUGGGCUCGAAUACAAUACUAGAAGAGGAGAAGAGUAGGACACAGCUAGCAUAGAUGGAAGAAUGACCAUGUGAGGACAUAGCAAGAAGCCAGCGACUGUCUGCAAGCCAUGGAAAAAAACCUCAGAAAGAAAGCCUGUUGACACCUUAAUCUUGAAUUUCUAACCUCCAGAAAUGUGAGAAAAUAAAUUUCUGUUAUUUAAUCCA